rnacentral:rRNA from 1 species
AUUGAACGCUGGCGGCAUGCUUUACACAUGCAAGUCGAACGGUAACAGGUUAAGCUGACGAGUGGCGAACGGGUGAGUAAUGCAUCGGAACGUGCCCGAUCGUGGGGGAUAACGCAGCGAAAGCUGCGCUAAUACCGCAUACGAUCUGAGGAUGAAAGCGGGGGACCGUAAGGCCUCGCGCGAUCGGAGCGGCCGAUGUCAGAUUAGGUAGUUGGUGGGGUAAAGGCUCACCAAGCCGACGAUCUGUAGCUGGUCAGAGAGGACGACCAGCCACACUGGGACUGAGACACGGCCCAGACUCCUACGGGAGGCAGCAGUGGGGAAUUUUGGACAAUGGGCGAAAGCCUGAUCCAGCAAUGCCGCGUGCAGGAAGAAGGCCUUCGGGUUGUAAACUGCUUUUGUACGGAGCGAAAAGGCUCCCUCUAAUACAGGGGGCUCAUGACGGUACCGUAAGAAUAAGCACCGGCUAACUACGUGCCAGCAGCCGCCGUAA